GGGCUGGGCCGAGGAAAGGGCCAACAAGCCCAUGUCCUGCCCAAAGCCCGCUCCGGCGGUACCUUGAAAUACCCCGCCUUGGCGCCCGAGCGUAACCGCCUCACCCAACAGCGCGCCCUUCUCCUCGUCGCCGGAGCGCCGACAAGAACCAAGAACCCGCCUCCUCCGCUCUCCGGCGACCCAGCGCCGGCGGCGACCGAUGGACCAGUUCCACGACAGGCAGCACGUGCGGCUGCGGAGCCGCGUGCUCGGCACGUACCUCCACGCCGACCACGACGGGGAGCGCGUCUCCCUCAGCCGGCGCCGUGACUCGCUGCACGCGGCGUGGGCGGUGCACAUCCACCCACGCCCCGACGGCCCGUACCUUCUCCUCCACAGCGCCGCCUACGGCCGCUACCUCGGCGCCACGUUCAAGCCGUCGCCGCUCGGCCACCUCGGCUGCCGCACCGAGCAGCGCGACUACGACGACGAGCAGGACUUGAUGGCCGUCAUGUGGCGGGNN
rnacentral:lncRNA from 1 species